rnacentral:rRNA from 1 species
UACGGGGGGGGCAAGCGUUGUUCGGAAUUACUGGGCGUAAAGGGCGCGUAGGCGGCCUACUAAGUCGGACGUGAAAUCCCUCGGCUCAACCGAGGAACUGCGUCCGAUACUGGCAGGCUGGAAUCCGGGAGAGGGAUGUGGAAUUCCAGGUGUAGCGGUGAAAUGCGUAGAUAUCUGGAGGAACACCGGUGGCGAAGGCGGCAUCCUGGACCGGUAUUGACGCUGAGGCGCGAAAGCUAGGGGAGCAAACGGGG